UAAAAGCUAACAUUCCAAAAUUGAAGUUACAUUGAAGAACUUUUGACACCAAAACUUUAAAAUUGAACUUACCGACCAACGAAUUUAACUAGAAGGAGAAGUCAGACCCUGUAUAGAAUCAAUGCAACGUAACAUAAUAAAAAAAUGUCGCUUUAUAAGUAAGAAACCAAAACAAAGAAACUAAAGAACGGGAAAGGAAUGAAAGAAAAACCUGGCAGAAAAAGAAAGAACAAAAUGAAAAAAAACUCACCGGAGGUUUCUAAAAGGUUUUAAAUAACAAACUGAAACUAAAUACCAC
rnacentral:lncRNA from 1 species